GGUAUAACUUUUAGAGUUCACUUCACGCCAAACCACCACGUGAGGGCGAACUCAGCCAACGCCAAGGAACAACUAUAUUUUUAAAUAAAAACAUGAUUUAUAAGUAUAUAAGUUUUUAAUAGCCUUGGCGAACUCGGUUUGGGAUAGCCCUCGGCCAAGGUAUCCUUGAUAACUGAGUAUGAGAAUAAUUUUUGGCAUGAGCCAAGUUUUAAGA
rnacentral:lncRNA from 1 species